UGUUGCGUCAGAAUGUAAGGCUGCAAGUCUAAAUGACAAACAACAUCUUCAUACUUUGAAUAUACGGUGGAAUAUAUGGUGGAGUACUAAAGGAGAUGUCGAUAAUUCGGAUGUUGUUGAGGAUGAAGCGUCAUUGAAUGGCUUCCAACCACACCCAAAUUUGAAAAUUCUUUUCUUAGAAUACUAUCGGGGUUCAAAGCUUCCGAGUUGGAUUUCGUUAAUCACAAAUCUUGUUAGAUUUCGAUUAGAGUCUUGUCGGAAAAUCCAAUAUCUACCACAAUUGAGUCAACUGCCUUUCCUCAAGGAGCUUUUUCUUUUAAAGUUGGAGGCUAUUGAGUACAUAUCAGACGACGGUGAUAGAAAUGAGUUAUUUUCUUCUUCAACGACACCAACACCAUUUUUUCCAUCCCUCAAGUAUAUCGCGCUCUCUUAUUGCCCUAAUCUGAAAGGGUGGUGGAGGAGGAGAGAUUCUUCUGUGGAGGUAAAUAGUGAUAGUGAUAGUGAUAAUUCCGUUGAAAUAACGGAGCAUUGUUUACUCCCUUCCUUUCCUCGUCUUUCAAAAUUAAACAUCCGCAAUUGCCCUAUGUUGACUUCCAUGCCAAUGUUUCCACAUCUUGAAGAAGAGUUGGUCCUUGACAAUAUUGCUAGCUCAAAGCCACUGCAACAGACAAUGAUGAUGAAUAUGGCAGCACUUCAAAGCCCAACGUCAACAGCAACAGAUUCCUCUUCAUUCACUCCUCUCUCAAAAUUGAAGAAUAUAAAAUUGGGUUCCAUUACCGAUCUAGAAACUUUGCCACUGCAAAAUCUCACUUCUCUUGAGUCUUUGAAGAUAUGGAGUUGCCAUAUAUUAAAGCCUCUCUCCCUAGGUAUACAACAUCUCACUGCCCUUCAAUUCCUAGAUAUUGCGGAUUGUCCAGAUCUUGAGCUAGCCAAUGAUGAGGAUGGGAUGCAAUGGCAAGGCCUUACGAGCCUCUUCUCCCUUUCCUUCUCAUACCUUCCAAAUUUGGUGUCCCUUCCCUCGGGGCUUCAAUGUGCUACCACUCUACAAAAGCUUCAGAUUAUAUCUUGUGAAAGCUUGACGGCUAUACCAGAGUGGAUCCACAACUGCAAAUCACUCCAAGUGCUUCAAAUUGGUGGAUGCUCCAGAUUGGCAUCACUACCCGAAGGAAUGCGUAGGCUAACGUCUUUGCAGAAUCUAACAAUUAGGGAUUGUCCCAUCCUAUUGCAAAGAUGCAAGAGAGACACAGGUGAGGAUUGGGACAAGAUUGCUCACAUUCCAGAGUUAGACUUACAGUAUCCGCCAAUCACCAUAAAAACUGAAAGGUCCACCUUCGACAGCUUCCACACCUUCAGAGGCAGUAGCCACAACGAUGCACAAACGAAAACAGGGGAUUCUAAGCUUAUUGAACAAAGAUGGAUGUAUAUGUGAUUCUUCACAUUUUAGGAGAAAUAGUUGAGUGAAAACUGGCUCUUGGUGAACUCGAGCAAAUACUUUGCGGAAGAUCCAAUCUGUAAACAACACUCCGAGAACUACCUUGUUGCACUGGUGGUUUAUUGUUGGAGCUCCUAACAGCACAAUCUGUUUUUCAUCUACAGAUAUAGGUUUCGUUCCUCACAGCUUUUGGUACCUAUACGAGGGAGAUGAGGUGAACAUGACUCUGGGUCUCUGGCUAAGUUUGAGGCUAAAAUACUCCACGAGAAGAUUUCAGAGAAGGCUUACAAUCAGGAUUUGGGCUACAAGGAGCAAAGCGCAGAUCAAUACUGCUCUGAACCAUAUAAAAAUGAAUUCUGAAAUGACAUCAACAAGGGUUGUUGAUAUGAUGUACCUGGAUGCUUCAGAAAAAAAACUGGCAAUUAGUGAAAUCGGAUUAAGUAUUGUGGCGAGGGUCAAUUCUGGUAACUAAAUGUUAUUACAGGGUAGUCUGCCUUGGUUUAAGACCAUAAGUUGAUGUUCAAGAGCUUCUUAUUUUUGUCUUGUUAGAAGCUUUUACAGCAAAAUCUAUCAUACAUCUUCAGGUAUAAGCAAUUGGUUUUCACUUUUAACAGAUGAUCCAUUAUAACGUUAGAGAUCCAUUGACUAUUAUUACUAGCAAUAUAUAUGGACAGCGUAUUAGUGAAAGCCUUUCGUUGGUGAAGCUAUUCUUUCCAUAUAUAUUAGAAACACCAGUUGAUGCCUUUGCUGCUCUAUAUAUCUUAAUAAUAUGAAAUUUGUAGUUUCUCGUGCCUGUGCCAAAAGGAUGAAGAGGGGUAGAGUAGUGCAGGAUUCUGACGAUGAAGCAUAGGAAAAACAGAGGGGGCUAAUAUAUGUCUUAUACAGGGAAUUCAAAAUAGUUGUUUACAAUGUACUUCGUGUUUGUAAUUGACAAUGUACUUAAUGGAUAAUACUUAAUGAGAAUGGGAAAAAGUAAUAUGAAAGGAGUAGGAAAAAAAAUUCUAUUUAUAUCUGAAUCCCCAUUUGUUAUGGAUGUCAAAAAGUUGUUGCAAUAUGCUAGAAAUAUCAUUUAUUUUGUUUUAUUUCAUCGUUUCUGAUAGCUUUUUUUGUAAGAACUUAAGGACUGCUACCUAACUUUAAGGAUAGCUUUAAUUUCAAGAACCCAGCUACCUAACAUUGAAAUAUUGCAAAUGAAUAUGUCGUUAAUUUAUCUCAUUAUACUUGUUUUGCUUGUAAAACAAAUUGUCAAUUAUUUUCAUCUUUAUGUUUUUCCAACUGUAACCAUUUUAAUCAUAAAGAAUUACUAGACAUGUGAAUUAAUCAUUUCAACGAAUUUGUGAAGUUCUUAUUUUCUUUUUCUGAAGUCCAAACAAGGAAUAGAAUAAGUUGGUGAUAAAGGCCUUGAGUUGAUGGAUUAAGAAGAUGAGUGGUUGAUAUAGCUUACUACAAAGAAUAAGCAAUUGGUAAUUUAAUGAAUCAUAUUAGACUUAUUAGCUGUUUUUGCAGAGAAAUAUGUGAUUACUCAAUUGAGAUGGCUUUUAAGGACUAAGAAUUUUAAAGGUAGCAUUUGGUAAGUGCUUCAACUAUAUAAGCAUGAUAUUACUUUCAUCUUUGAAGUGAUCUUACUUUUUAAGGAAGCUUAGCACACCACAAAGUUGUAAUCUAGCCAUGGACACUUAGAUAUAUGACAUUUAUGAAAAAUCAUAAAAAUCCUGAAUUUUGUUGUCUGAAGCAUAGGCUUCUUGUUGACUUGUCAGAAAGCUCUUCAACUGAUUCUAAAAUUAAAAUUCAAACAAUAGUAGCUUUCCGAUGGGGGAGGGGAAGACCAAAUGGCCAUAUUACUAAUUAUAUCAUCUACCACUCAUCGUGUAAUACUACUCUUUAAGGCUGAAAACACUAUAGGUGUUGUUUUGGACAUUUUAACUACAUAAUUAAGCAUGUAAUUCAUUAAAUUAAACAUAUAAUAGUUGGAGACUGAAAAAAUGUUUGUCCUAAUUGACGCCAGGUAAUUUACUUUCCAAAUAAGAUGACAAGAGUCAGCUGUAUCAUAUGUUGGAACUGUGCAAUGGCCACCUCUACAAUUUCAAAGGGACUUCCAUUUUUGUCAUAGUGGAAGAUUAAGGGACGAAGGUUUGCUAGGAGGGUGAAGGAAACGAAGCACAACAAGAUUCAUCACAAAUCUAGCUUUAAUAUGAUUAUGUGCCCAGUGCCCACUGUGUUCGACAAAUUUAGUGCUAAUGUCGUGGUUGGUUGAUGGUAGCACAGCUAACCUUGGAAUAUGGGUCACUGCUGGACAGGAGGAUUAUAACAGGCUGAGGCCUUUGAGUUACAGAGGUGCAGAUGUUUUCUUAUUGCCUUCUCUCUCAUCAGCAAACCCUGCUAGGAAAAUAUCUCCAACAAGUGAAUCCCCUCAACUGUGCCAAUAGUGAAUCCCUCCAGAUUGGCAUCACUCCCCGAAGGAAUGUGUAGGCUAACGUCUUUGCAGAGGGUAACAAUUGUGUAUUGUCCUAUCUUAUUGCAAAGACACAAGAGACACACAGGUGAGGAUUGGCCCAAGAUCGCUCACAUUCUAGAGUUAGGCUUACGGUGUCCGACUCAGCAAGAAGAAAAUUUAAUCACCCAUGCAGGUUCGACUGAUUCAGGUUGACGUAGAUGCUUAUGGCAUACAACAAAUUCAAGGGCUUCCCAUUUUCCAGUUUUAAAAGCAGAGGAACCAGUUGAAGCAUAGAAGAAACAUUGGAUGGAGAUUCCAAGCUUAUUCAAAAUCCAGGGCACUGCAAUUUGGAAAAUAUGUGAUUACUCGAUUGAUUUCUUGUAGCAUUUUUGUCAGAGUAGAGAAUUAAGGAUUAUGUGCCCACUGUGUUCAACAACUUUAGUGCUAAUGAACAUGGUUGAUGCUUUAUGGGACACUGCUGGACAGGAGGAUUAUAACCAGAAGUUUUCUUGUUGGCCUUCUCUCUCAUCAGCAAAGCCAGCUAUGAAAAUAUCUCCAACAAGACUGGAAGUUCCAGUGAAUCCCCCCAACUGUGCCAAUAGUGCUAGUAGGAACCAAACUUGAUUUACAGGAAGACGAGUGGUAUUUGAUUGGUCAUCCUGGCGCUACAUCAGUGAUCUUGCAGUUGGCUUGUAUGGAAAUGAGGACUCACAGUAGUUGCCUGUCCAGAUUUUAGUCAUUUCAAAUUCAUUCAGACCUGAAUUUUCAGUUUGAUUUUUUUAUUUUGAUCAUUUUCUAAGUUUUUGGGUAUCUUCUUAACUUUGACUCGUUCAUAAUUCUUGUUUGCUUUACACUUUUGGUAUAUCCAUUAUCAUGAGGUGAGCUGAAAAGGAUUCUAUACUUGAAAUACAUUUUGUGUAAUUCAAAUUUCACAAUGAGCAAAUUUUCUUGAAAGUUUUAUUUU